rnacentral:rRNA from 1 species
AUACGAAGGGGGCUAGCGUUGUUCGGAUUUACUGGGCGUAAAGGGCACGCAGGCGGGUCAAUUAGUCGAUCGUGAAAACUGCCGGCUCAACCGGCAGCUUGCGGUCGAAACUGUUGACCUUGAGUACGGUAGAGGCUAGCGGAAUUCCUGGUGUAGCGGUGGAAUGCGUAGAUAUCAGGAAGGAACACCAGUGGCGAAGGCGACACCCUGGACCAAUACUGACACUGAGGUGCGAAAGCGUGGGGAGCAAACAGGAUUAGAUACCCCGGUAGUCC